AGUGCACCGCCUGGGGAGUACGGUCGCAAGACUAAACUCAAAGAAAUGACGGGGCCCGCACAAGCGGAGGAGCAUGUGGCUCAAUUCGAUGCAACGCGAAGAACCUUACCAGGGCUUGACAUGUAGCUGCACGCCCGCCGAAAGGUGGGAAGCCUUCGAGGGUGCUACACAGGUGCUGCAUGGCUGUCGUCAGUUCGUGCCGUGAGGUGUUGGGUUAAGUCCCGCAACGAACGCAACCCUUGUGUUUAGUUGCCACCGUCGAUGAUGAGUCGGCGAGCACUCUAGACAGACUGCCCGUACAAGCGGGAGGAAGGUGGGGAUGACGUCAAGUCAGUAUGGCCCUUACGUCCUGGGCUGCACACGUGCUACAAUGGUCGGCACAGAGGGAUGCAAGACCGUGAGGUGGAGCAAAUCCUCAAAACCGGCCUCAGUUCAGAUUGAAGGCUGCAACUCGCCUUCAUGAAGCCGGAUUCGCUAGUAAUGGCGCAUCAGCUACGGCGCCGUGAUACGUUCCCGGGCCUUGUACACACCGCCCGUCACAUCAUGAAAGCCGUCUGCACCCUAAGUCGCUGAACCAACC
rnacentral:rRNA from 1 species